rnacentral:rRNA from 1 species
UGGGGAAUAUUGCACAAUGGGCGCAAGCCUGAUGCAGCCAUGCCGCGUGUAUGAAGAAGGCCUUCGGGUUGUAAAGUACUUUCAGUCGGGAGGAAGGUGUCAAGGUUAAUAACCUUGGCAAUUGACGUUACCGACAGAAGAAGCACCGGCUAACUCCGUGCCAGCAGCCGCGGUAAUACGGAGGGUGCAAGCGUUAAUCGGAAUUACUGGGCGUAAAGCGCACGCAGGCGGUUGAGUGAGUCAGAUGUGAAAUCCCCGUGCUUAACCCGGGAAUUGCAUCUGAUACUGGUCAGCUAGAGUCUUGUAGAGGGGGGUAGAAUUCCAUGUGUAGCGGUGAAAUGCGUAGAGAUGUGGAGGAAUACCGGUGGCGAAGGCGGCCACCUGGACAAAGACUGACGCUCAGGUGCGAAAGCGUGGGGAGCAAACAGG